AACAGGAUUAGAUACCCUGGUAGUCCACGCUGUAAACGAUGUCGACUUGGAGGUUGUGCCCUUGAGGCGUGGCUUCCGGAGCUAACGCGUUAAGUCGACCGCCUGGGGAGUACGGCCGCAAGGUUAAAACUCAAAUGAAUUGACGGGGGCCCGCACAAGCGGUGGAGCAUGUGGUUUAAUUCGAUGCAACGCGAAGAACCUUACCUACUCUUGACAUCCAGAGAAUUUGCUAGAGAUAGCUUAGUGCCUUCGGGAACUCUGAGACAGGUGCUGCAUGGCUGUCGUCAGCUCGUGUUGCGAAAUGUUGGGUUAAGUCCCGCAACGAGCGCAACCCUUAUCCUUUGUUGCCAGCACGUAAUGGUGGGAACUCAAAGGAGACUGCCGGUGAUAAACCGGAGGAAGGUGGGGAUGACGUCAAGUCAUCAUGGCCCUUACGAGUAGGGCUACACACGUGCUACAAUGGCAUAUACAAAGAGAAGCGAACUCGCGAGAGCAAGCGGACCUCAUAAAGUAUGUCGUAGUCCGGAUUGGAGUCUGCAACUCGACUCCAUGAAGUCGGAAUCGCUAGUAAUCGUAGAUCAGAAUGCUACGGUGAAUACGUUCCCGGGCCUUGUACACAUCGCCCGUCACGCCAUGGGAGUGGGUUGCAAAAGAAGUAGGUAGCUUAGCCUUCGGGAGGGCGCUUACCACUUUGUGAUUCAUGACUGGGGUGAAGUCGUAACAAGGUAACC
rnacentral:rRNA from 1 species